rnacentral:tRNA from 1 species
AGCGGGGUAGAGGAAUUGGUGAACUCAUCAGGCUCAUGACCUGAAGACUGCAGGUUCGAAUCCUGUCCCCGCCU